AAAAGCUUCAGAAGUACUCAACCGUGUCCCGACUGAGAGAGCUGGCGUGGAGUGGCUUGCUCCCCUUCGCUUAGAAGAGAGUUCGAGAGGCCGAGAUGUAAUACACUGUAGAUUUUCGCUAUUUUCCCCCUUCGCGGUCCUUUUUCCUGACUCCAUGAAGGUGGCAGUAAGCCCAGUAAGUCACCGCCCCAGAUUUCUUUGGAGAACCUGUCAGGUUCCCAGAACCAGUCCUGGACGGCCUUCCUGCACACAGUCAGCCUCAGAACUGAAGAAAAGCAAUGACGCUUGCACUUGUGUGGUGUGUCACCGUUUAAAAAUAAAGCUUUGGGCUGGCCAAGUAGCGCAUUGGUUAAGAACCGGCUUGGGACGCCAGAGGGCCCCG